rnacentral:rRNA from 1 species
AAGUAGGGGAUCGCAAGACCUUACGCUUUUGGAGCGGCCGAUGUCUGAUUAGCUAGUUGGUGAGGUAAAGGCUUACCAAGGCUACGAUCAGUAGCUGGUCUGAGAGGACGACCAGCCACACUGGGACUGAGACACGGCCCAGACUCCUACGGGAGGCAGCAGUGGGGAAUUUUGGACAAUGGGGGAAACCCUGAUCCAGCCAUGCCGCGUGAGUGAAGAAGGCCUUCGGGUUGUAAAGCUCUUUCAGCCGGAACGAAACGGUUACGAUUAAUACCUGUAACUAAUGACGGUACCGAAAGAAGAAGCACCGGCUAACUACGUGCCAGCAGCCGCGGUAAUACGUAGGGUGCGAGCGUUAAUCGGAAUUACUGGGCGUAAAGGGUGCGCAGGUGGUUUUGUAAGUCAGAUGUGAAAUCCCCGGGCUUAACCUGGGAACUGCGUUUGAAACUACAAAGCUUAGA